rnacentral:rRNA from 1 species
CCAAUAGCGUAUAUUAAAGUUGUUGCAGUUAAAAAGCUCGUAGUUGAAUUUCGGAGUCAAUUUAUCGGUCGUGCCUAUGGUACGUACUGGUAUUGUUGAUUCCUCUCUUCUGAGGAGCCGCGAUGUCAUUAACUUGGUGUCGCGGGGAAUCAGGACUGUUACUUUGAAAAAAUUAGAGUGUUUAAAGCAGGCUAACGCUUGAAUACAUUAGCAUGGAAUAAUGAAAUAGGACGUUUGAUUCUAUUUUGUUGGUUUCUAGGGUCGACGUAAUGAUUAAUAGGGAUAGUUGGGGGCAUUAGUAUUCAAUUGUCAGAGGUGAAAUUCUUGGAUUUAUUGAAGACUAACUACUGCGAAAGCAUUUGCCAAGGAUGUUUUCAUUAAUCAAGAACGAAAGUUAGGGGAUCGAAGACGAUCAGAUACCGUCGUAGUCUUAACCAUAAACUAUGCCGACUAGGGAUCGGAUGAUAAUUUUUUAAUGACUCAUUCGGCGCCUUACG